AAUGAACGUUGGCGGCGUGGAUUAGGCAUGCAAGUCGAGCGAGAACCCCGCAAGGGGGGACAGCGGCAAACGGGGUAGUAAUGUGUCGGAACGUGCCCAGAGGACGGGGAUAGCGGCGGGAAACUGCCGGUAAUACCCGAUGAUCUCGAGAGAGCAAAGGUGUGAUUCCGCCUUUGGAGCGGCCGACAUGGUAUUAGCUAGUUGGCGGGGUAAUGGCCCACCAAGGCUGUGAUGCCUAGGGGAUGUGAGAGCAUGAUCCCCACCAUUGGGACUGAGACACUGCCCAGACACCUACGGGUGGCUGCAGUCGAGAAUCUUCGUCAAUGGGCGAAAGCCUGAACGAGCGACGCCGCGUGUGGGAUGAAGGCCCUUGGGUUGUAAACCACUGUCGAGGGGGAUGAAGGCAUUCAGGUUCUCCUGAAUGUUUGACAGAGCCCUGGAGGAAGCACGGGCUAAGUUCGUGCCAGCCGCCGCCGUAAGAC
rnacentral:rRNA from 1 species